GAUGAACGCUGGCGGCGUGCCUAAUACAUGCAAGUCGAGCGAACAGACGAGGAGCUUGCUCCUCUGACGUUAGCGGCGGACGGGUGAGUAACACGUGGAUAACCUACCUAUAAGACUGGGAUAACUUCGGGAAACCGGAGCUAAUACCGGAUAAUAUAUUGAACCGCAUGGUUCAAUAGUGAAAGACGGUUUUGCUGUCACUUAUAGAUGGAUCCGCGCCGCAUUAGCUAGUUGGUAAGGUAACGGCUUACCAAGGCAACGAUGCGUAGCCGACCUGAGAGGGGGACCGGCCACCCUGGAACUGAGACACGGCCCAGACUCCUACGGGAGGCAGCAGUGGGGAAUAUUGCACAAUGGGCGGAAGCCUGAUGCAGCGACGCCGCGUGGGGGAUGACGGCCUUCGGUUUGUAAACCCCUUUCGCCGGGGACGAAGCUUUUUGUGACGGUACCGGUAAAAGAAGCCCCGGCAAACUACGU
rnacentral:rRNA from 1 species